UAGAGUUUGAUCCUGGCUCAGGAUGAACGCUGGCGGCGUGCCUGAGAUAUGCAAGUCGAGCGAAGUUCCGACCGCAAGGUUGGGAUUCAGCGGCGGACGGCUGAGUAACGUGUAGGAAUCUUCCCAGAACUCGAGGAUAGCCCACCGAAAGGUGGGGUAAUACUCCAUGUUUCCGUAAGGACAAAGUGCGCAAGCACGGUUUUGGAUGAGCCUGCAUCCUAUCAGGUAGUUGGUAGGGUAAUAGCCUACCAAGCCAAUGACGGGUAGCUGGCCUCAUGAGGGUGGUCAGCCAGAGGGGGACUGCGACACGGCCCCCACUCCUACGGGAGGCAGCAAUCAGGAAUAGUCGGCAAUGGACGAAAGUCUGACCGCGCGACGCCGCGUGUAGGAUGAAGUUCGAAAGAGCGUAAACUACUGUGAUAGGGGAAGAAGUCUCGUCGUAAGACGGGAUUGACGGUACCCUAUUAGAAAGGAGCCGCUAACUGCGUGCCAGAAGCGUCGGUAAUACGUGGGCUUCAAGCGUUAUCCGGUCUUAUUGGGCGUAAAGGGUCGUGUAGGUGGUUAUACAAGUUAUCUUUUAAAUCUCUUCGCUCAACGAAGAAUCAGGGGAUAAAACUGUAUAUCUAGAGAUUUCUCAAGGGGGAUGGGAACUGAAGGAGGAGUAGUGAAAUGCGUUGAUACCUUCGGGAACACCAGUGGCGAAAGCGCAUCCCUGGGAGAGGUCUGACACUGAGACACGAAAGCGAGGGGAGUGAAGCAGAUUAGAGACCUGCGUAAUCCUCGCCCUAAACGAAUGCUUGCUAGCUGCAUGUUCUCCAUUUUGGAGCACGUGUGGCGAAGGUAACCCGUUAAGCAAGCCGCCUGGGAAGUACGACCGCAAGGUUAAAACUCAAAGGAAUUGGCGGGGAGGCACACAACCAGUGGAACGUGUGGUUCAAUUCGACACGAACCGAAGAACCUCACCAGGGUUUGACAUAUGAGUGUAAUCCCCAUGAAAGUGGGGACCUCCGCAAGGACACUUUUACAGGUGCUGCAUGGCUGUCGUCAGUUCGUUCCGUGAGGAGUGCCCUUAAGUGGGACAACGAACGCAACCCCUGUCUCGUGUUACACGUAUCACGAGAGACCGCCUCGACGUUUUGUCGGGGAGGAAGGCGGGGCAGACGUCAAGUCCGCACGGUCCUUAUACCCUGGGCUACACACAUGUUACAAUGGGAAGCAACAACGAGCUUAGCGAGUCUGCAAAGACAAGCGAAUCUCUGAAAUCUUCUCUCAGUUGGGAUUGAGGUCUGAAACCCGACCUCAUGAACACGGAAUUGGUAGUAAUCGCGGGUCAGCUAUACCGCGGUGAAUACGUUCUUGCCUCUUGCACACACCGCCCGUCAAGCCAACAAAGUCGUGGAUAUUCGAAUCUCGAUGUAUUUCGGGAGAGUUUAUUUUCGGCGAUGAGGGUUAAGUCGUAACAAGGUAACC
rnacentral:rRNA from 1 species